GCCUAACAUCUAGCCCAAAUCAUUCGCAUGACUUCCCCGACCUCUCACCUUUAAACAAAACA
rnacentral:rRNA from 1 species